rnacentral:lncRNA from 1 species
CAAAAAUCAUAGAGAACAAUGUUCAACCUUGGUACAUGUUAGGAAAAUUAAAAUUCAACUAAUGGGAAAUAUUUAGCCCUUAAGCAAAAAAAAAAAAGAUCAAUAUCCUGGCCAGGUGUGGUGGCUCACGCCUGUAAUCCCAGCACUUAGAAGGCCGAGGCAGGUGGAUCACCUGAGGUCAGGAGUUUGAGACCAGCCUGACAGACAUGCUGAAACCCUGUCUCUAUUAAAAAUACAAAAAUUAGCCAGGUGUGGCGGUGAGCACCUGUAAUCCCAUCUACUCUGGAGGCUGAGGCAGGAGAAUCACUUGAACUGGAGAGGUGGAGGUUGCAGUGAGCUGAGAUUACACCACUGCACUCCAGCCUGGGCAACAAGAGCAAAACUCCAUCUUAAAUAAAUAAAUAAAUAAAUAAUCAAUAUCACAUUGGAAAAAGUAUGGGGAAAUCACCUAUCUAUCUCUCUAGGAAGAUGUCAAUUACUAUAGCAUUUUUGAAGGUAAUCUGGAAAUACUACAUUUUAAAAUGGAACAUAUACUUUAACCAAGCAAUCUUAAAAGUCUAAAGAAAAAAUGAAUUCAUAUGUAAGGGUGUACAUGCAAGGAUAUUUAUUUCAGCACUGCUUAUUAAAGAAAAACAAUUUAAAUAUUUAUUGAUAGAGCAAUGCAUUCAAAUUAUUAACUAUUUUAGAUCUAUUAAAAAUGAAUUCACAUCAUAAGAAAACAACAGAUCUGAAUCUAGGAAAGCUUUAAUUUUUUAAUUAAAACCAAAAUAAAUACAGAUGCAAAAAUCUUCGACAAAAUACUGGCAAAUAGAAUCCAGCAACAUAUAAAAAGGAUUAAAAACCAUGACAAAUAAAUUUACCUCAGGAAUGGAAGAUUGGUUCAACAUAUAACUAACUAAUGUAAUUCCCCAUAUUUAUAGAAUAAAGGACAAAAACAAUAUAAUCAUCUCAACAGACAUAUAAAAAGCAUUUGACAAAAUCUAACAGUCUUUCAUGAUUAUAUAUAUAUAUAUAUAUAUAUAUACACACACACCAAACUAGGAAUAGACAGGACCUUCCUCAACUUGAUAAACAGCAUCUAUGAAAACCCACAACAAACAUACUUAACAGCGAAAGACUGAACACUUACCCUGCUAAGAUCAGGAACAAGUCAGGGAGGCUUACUCUUGCUACUUCUAUUCAAUAUUGUUCUGAAAGUUGUAGCUAGAGUAACUUGGAAAUAAAAUUAAGUAAAAGCAUCCUCAUGCUUUAGAGAGCAGUCAGGAGCCCUGCUCCAUGAGAAAACUUGUUCAUAAAGGAUCUUCGGGAUGUUGAUUUUCUGGCUGGAAACCUGUGUGACCAAAAGCGCCUUUGCCCAAGUUCUUGGCCAAGAAGAAUGAGGUACGCAGACAAGUGAAGGGUGCACAGAUGAGCUUUAAAUGUUAGAACAGCUCAAAGGAGUCCUGCAGUGGGUAGGUCCUCUCUAUGGGCAGGUCACCCUCAAGUGUUCAGCUCUCAGAAGAGAGGAGGUCCUGGAGAAGGUUACUCCUCUCUGCAGCUGAUAGUCCCAACGUCUCUGCAGGUCUCUGAAGCUCUCAGCAGAGAGGGUAGCUCCUCUCUGCAGCUGGUUUUCCAGACCAUAGUCUCUCCCUUCUCGCAUUCUCUCCCCCAGGCUUGGCCCUAACCCCGCUCCAAGAUUGUAGCAGGUACGGGAGCAGGAAGACAUGAGGCAGCAGGAGCAGGCAACUCCGAGCCUGCAAGGGCAGGGGGGCCUUCCCAGGCCCCCCAAGCUGCAAGGAUGCCUGCAUCUGCAGCCACAGUUUGGUUGGCUGCAACUGCGCCUCGCCUGGGGAGCGGGACUCCUGCCAGCUCUCUAAAGCAGAAGGCCUGGAUCCACAGCCACAGCUUGGGUGGCUGAAGCCCUGCCCAGGAGGGUGGGGCUCCUGUGCAUGCCCAAGUCCCAAAAGCAUGGGAUGCCCAGGUUGCAAAUGCCACUUAGGUGGCUGCAGUUGCACCUGGGAAGGUCCCGCCCCACCAACUUGGAAGGGGCAGGGCUCCUGCUUGUACCUGGCUCCCACCAGCUCCAUGGAGCAUGGCACACGGCUGUGCCCCCUUGCAGCCUGGGGGUUGGGGGUUGCUCUGGGUCCUCACUGGGCCUGGGUGGGCAUCUGGGACAGGGGUGAUGAGGCCAGGAGCUCCCCCUGUGGCUCCAGUGCUCAAGGGUGGCCUGGAGCUCCCCUUCACCAAGCCCACGGCCUGGUCCCAUUGUGGUGGCCCCUAGGGUGGCGGGCUGCGGGAGGCGGGGGCAGGCUGUCUGCCACCUCCCCUUGGCCACACCAGAUGGCCCACCACUGCCAUCAAAUGUUCAUAGCAGCAUUAGUCACAAUGGCCAAAUGUUCAUCAUGUGAUGAAUGAAUAACCAAAAUGUAAUAGAUCCAUACAAUGAAAGAUUAUUUGACCAUAAAAAGGAACAAAGUACUGAUACAUGCAAUAACAUGGAAGAACCUUGAAAACAUGCUAAGUAAAAAUUCAGACACAAAAGUCCAUAUAUUUUAUAAUUCCAUUUAUAUGAAAUGCCUAGAAUGAGGUAAUCUAUACAGACAAAAAAGUUAGUAGUUGCCAGUAACGGGAGGAAAGACAAUUCGAGAGUGACUGGUAAUAGACACAGGGUUUCUAUUUCGGAUGAUAAACAUGUUCUGGAAUUAGAUAAGGUAGAUGGUUGCACACCUCGUGAAUAUACUAAA